UGGUGGAGUGAUUUGUCUGGUUAAUUCCGUUAACGAACGAGAUCUUGGCCUACUAAAUAGUUUUCUCAGUUAUGACUGCAGGGGACUUCUUAGGGGGACUGCGUAGGUUUUACUGCGAUGAAGAACGAGGCAAUAACA
rnacentral:rRNA from 1 species